CUGGCGUGGGUGUUCGUAUACGUUGUGUUCUAAUAUACAAUUUUAACCUCUUAAUCCUGAGUAGAAUUGUUAUGUUGUUUUGUCAAACGUGACUUGAUUUGAUUUAUACGUUUGUUUAGUUAAUAAAUAGUCGCGUAUAUCUACGAUUAUGUCUUUGCAAAAAACAUCGCAACGGGCUAGUGGCAGUAAAAAAAGAAAACUAAGUGACGAUUCGAUUGAUAUACAAUUGAAUCAUAAUCUAGAUUUGUGUAUUGAUUCACCGUUGGAAGGUUAUAGAGACCUGUUUGGCGAACUUAUACCACCUAACGAGUGCGUCAAUAAUGCAGAGGUUAAAAACAAAUCGACUAAGAAAAAAACACCCGUAUCAAAGAGAAAGAAACUACCAUAUGAAGAUAUUUUUGUAGAUACUCCAGUAAUAAAACCUAAAAGAGUGUUUGUUCCUACUCCAAGAAUGAUGAAAUGUAUGAUGGAGGCACAAAAAGAAUUGUACUCCUUUAUGGGUAUUCAAAAAAGUUCAAGUAAUGUUUCAAUUGUAUCAAACGACAGUCUUAAUGUUAGCGGAGUACAACAUUUAAAAGACAGUCCUAUAACAAGUAUAAAAAAUGUGUCUAAAAUAAAUACAGAGAAUAAUGAUGAGAAAUCUCAACAAGUUCUUAAAGGAAUUGUUGCAUUUGUUGAUUAUAAAAUCGACAAUGAACGCUGUGAUUCAAGUAUCAUUCAUAAUCUCAUUAAAUUGGGUGCCAAAGUUGAAAAAACAUUUAAUCGAAAAGUUACGCAUGUAAUGUUUUGUGAUGGCUACCGCAGUACGUAUAAUAAAGCAGUUGAACGUAAUAUCCCACUGGUGUCAGCAAGGUGGAUGGAAUAUAGCAGAAGAGCUAAUAAGAUACUGAGUCCAGCUGACUAUCCACCUGUAGGUUUGGAAAAAUACACCAAAACACCAUCAAAAGUUAUUAAAAUUCCAAAAUCCAAGUCAUAUCAAAAGUUUCUAGAUCCUAGUAAUAUUGAACGUGACCAUCUAUUUAAGUUAAAAUGUGAUAACCUAAUGAAACAAUUUAAUCUCAGUAUAAACUAUAAUAAUGAAAAAAAUCAUUCUAGCAUUGAGACUCCUCAAAAAACGACUGCGGAUGAGCAAGACGAUUUCCACAAACCAGAGCAUAUUGUUAAUAUAGUAUCAGAUCAAAUAUGUAAAUUAUUAAAUAAGACUGAUAGUCCUGUACCUGAUGAAAAACUAGAAGAAUUAAAUGUACCAAUUAGAAUAAUAAGAAAACAUCUCACGCCUGAUGGAAAGGAGAAUACAACAUCUAAAAUACUUGAUGGUCAAAUAGCUAAAAUUGAAGAUCAACUAAAAUUAAAUUUUCAAGCUAGAAAACGAUUUCGUAAACUAUUAUUUCCUUCUGAUGAGGUAAUAAAUAACAUUCAAGAAGUUAUUGAUUUUCCAACUCAAACCGAGGACAGCAAUUCCAAAAAAAUGUCUAUAAAUUCUACGAUUAUCCAGACACCAAAAGACUUUUUAGCAGAUAAUAGCGUGGUAUUACAGUCAAUUGCCUGUACUGGAAUGAUGAAAAGUGAAAUGAAAAUUUUAAAAUCAUCUAUAAAAACCUUAGGAAAAUUUAUUUUUCAUGCUAUGGUGAAACCUCAAACUACCUAUUUAAUUACUAAAUCACAUUCUAAUCAAUCAUUGGAUAUUGUAUUUGCAAAGGCUUAUGGAUGUUUCAUUGUUUCUGAAGAUUGGGUACAUGAAUCGUACAGAAUUGGAAAAUGGUUAUCCCAUCAACAUUAUUUGAUCUCAGAUUUGUCUGAACCUGUCAAGGAAUUUCAAUCACAACGUCACACAACAUUUGGGUCAGUGUUGAAAUUUCAUAUAUUUGAUAACGCUGGCAAAAUAUACAUAUCAGAUACCUGUAAAUCACCUGCUAAACUCUUAAAACGAUUGGUGCAUGCUUGUGGUGGUCAUUGUACAAAUACUAAAUCUAUCGCAAACGUUGUAGUAGGUGAUACACCGACAAUGGAUAAUGAUGUUGACGAAAAAUGGAUUUUAGACUGCAUAACCCAAGGGAUAUUGUUAGAUAAAAAAAAAAACAAAUGGUCAAUGUCGGAUAACUGCAUUCAUAACAUCAAAUAGAGAAAACAAAAGUUUUGUGUUGUCAAAGCAAUGCAAACAUCCAUUUGAUCUAGAUGUUCCAUUUCUUCAACAACAUAUAACUAGUAAAGGCUUUAAAAAAACUGUGAAUUCAUGUGUGCCUCGUGGUAUCUAAAUGGAAUAGAUUGUUAAAAGCUGUAAAUAACUUAACAUUUAUUCAGUGUGCAUAAAGAAUUAGGCGAUUACGACAAGGAUUGUUUCCAGCAACACCUCGAAAUACUCCAUAUUUCCAUAAUCUAUUAAUGAAUGAUGAAAAUCAAAUUUUUAGAUUAACAUUAUAACAAUCACAAUAACAUACAAGUUGAUUACAAAUUGAAAUUGAAUAAACUAAAUUUAUUGAAUAAUUACCGAUGUAUAGAUUUUAUCAAGGACCAUUGGUUGUGAAUGGAAUUAUUAAAAGUAUCCUAUUUUUCAAUAUAGCUCAUUUACAGAAAACAGAGUAAAAUUUAAGAAAUGUAUGUAAAUCUAAUGGAAAUUUCU